rnacentral:rRNA from 1 species
AUUAGUGGCGAACGGGUGAGUAACACGUGGGCAAUCUGCCCUGCACUCUGGGACAAGCCCUGGAAACGGGGUCUAAUACCGGAUAUUGACCUUCACGGGCAUCUGUGAGGUUCGAAAGCUCCGGCGGUGCAGGAUGAGCCCGCGGCCUAUCAGCUUGUUGGUGAGGUAAUGGCUCACCAAGGCGACGACGGGUAGCCGGCCUGAGAGGGCGACCGGCCACACUGGGACUGAGACACGGCCCAGACUCCUACGGGAGGCAGCAGUGGGGAAUAUUGCACAAUGGGCGAAAGCCUGAUGCAGCGACGCCGCGUGAGGGAUGACGGCCUUCGGGUUGUAAACCUCUUUCAGCAGGGAAGAAGCGAAAGUGACGGUACCUGCAGAAGAAGCGCCGGCUAACUACGUGCCAGCAGCCGCGGUAAUACGUAGGGCGCAAGCGUUGUCCGGAAUUAUUGGGCGUAAAGAGCUCGUAGGCGGCUUGUCACGUCGGUUGUGAAAGCCCGGGGCUUAACCCCGGGUCUGCAGUCGAUACGGGCAGGCUAGAGUUCGGUAGGGGAGAUCGGAAUUCCUGGUGUAGCGGUGAAAUGCGCAGAUAUCAGGAGGAACACCGGUGGCGAAGGCGGAUCUCUGGGCCGAUACUGACGCUGAGGAGCGAAAGCGUGGGGAGCGAACAG